rnacentral:rRNA from 1 species
UACGUAGAAGACUAGUGUUAUUCAUCUUUAAUAGGUUUAAAGGGUACCUAGACGGUAUAAUUAGUCUUAAACAGGAUACGAUUAUACUAGAGUUAUAUAUGAGGAGGUGAGUAUUUAUGCAGUAGAGUUGAAAUUCGUUGAUAGCAUAACGACUGGUAACGGCGAAAGCAACCUUUUAUCUAAUAACUGACGUUGAGGGACGAAAGGCUCGG